rnacentral:rRNA from 1 species
AUCUAUGGCCAUACCAUCCUGAACAUGCCCAAUCUUAUCUGAUCUUGGAAACUAAGCAGGGUUGGGCCUAGUUAGUACUUGGAUAGGAGAAAUGAGGGCAUUUUGGGAA